rnacentral:rRNA from 1 species
UUCCCUUGGCGCGGCUUGUGCGUCGAUGAAGAACGCAGCUAGCUGCGGGAACUAAUGUGAAUUGCAGGACACAUUGAUCAUCGACACUUCGAACGCACCUUGCGGCCCCUGGGGCUACGCCUGUCUGAGGGUCG